GACGAACGCUGGCGGCGCGCUUAACACAUGCAAGUCGAACGGAAAGGCCUGCUUUCCCUUGUGGAUUGCGGGUACUCGAGUGGCGAACGGGUGAGUAACACGUGAGUGAUCUGCCCCCAACUUGGGUAUAAGCCUGGGAAACUGGGUCUAAUUCCCGAUAGGACUGCAGGGUGGUGCCUGUGGUGGAAAACGAUUUUCUAGUGGUUGGGGAUGAGCUCGCGGCCUAUCAGCUUGUUGGUGGGGUAAUGGCCUACCAAGGCGGCGACGGGUAGCCGGCCUGAGAGGGUGGACGGCGACAUUGGGACUGAGAUACGGCCCAGACUCCGACGGGAGGCAGCAGUGGGGAAUAUUGCACAAUGGGCGGAAGCCUGAUGCAGCGACGCCGCGUGGGGGAUGACGGCCUUCGGGUUGUAAACUCCUUUCGACCGCGAGGAAGCCACCUGGUUGGAAGGGUGGUGACGGUAGUGGUAGAAGAAGCACCGGCUAACUACGUG
rnacentral:rRNA from 1 species